CUAGAUGCUUUGCUUUUUUUAGCUCCAUAUCUAGUGUCCAUAUCUAACCGUCACUCUCUAACAUAGGUUCUUAUUUAACUCUCUUUCUCUGUCUGUGUCAGUCGGAAGUUACAUCCAUGUUUGCUUUUGUAAAAGAUGAUGCUGAUGGUCUGUCUUUAGAGGAAGGCCUAGAUCAGUUUCUAGCCCAAGACUCUUUUAUGAACGUUGUGAACUCUAGCAGCGGCAGCUCGCUGUUAUACACCGAUGACGAGUCUCCGAUCGUAGGCCGGUUUCAACGGCCUCCCAGAGUUCAGUUUCAAGAGCUUUGUACAGUGGCUUCCAGCUCAGACGGGUCAGUGUGUGUGUGUGUGUGUGUGUGUGUGUUCUGUUUUUGUUAAAGCCUUCUUGACUAAAACCAUAAAAAAGGUUAAACGAGUCACUGCUUUAAAAGUUGUAAUUGUAUGGUGACAAGUACAGCAAUGCUAAUAGAAAAUGCAUUUGUUUACAUUAAAAUCAGCAUUUUGUUGAUUAAUAUAACUGAUUUUUUAUAUGUUCAACUUCAAAUAUAAAGGAAUAUUCUGGGUUUAUAAUGUUGCUCAUAAUAUCGAAUACCACAAAAAUGAAUUUUUCCACUUUUUCUUUCCUUGUUUUUUAAUUCAC
rnacentral:lncRNA from 12 species